AUUGAACGCUGGCGGCAGGCUUAACACAUGCAAGUCGAGCGGAGCGAGGGUGCUUGCACCUUAGCUUAGCGGCGGACGGGUGAGUAAUGCUUAGGAAUCUGCCUAUUAGUGGGGGACAACAUUCCGAAAGGAAUGCUAAUACCGCAUACGCCCUACGGGGGAAAGCAGGGGAUCUUCGGACCUUGCGCUAAUAGAUGAGCCUAAGUCGGAUUAGCUAGUUGGUGGGGUAAAGGCCUACCAAGGCGACGAUCUGUAGCGGGUCUGAGAGGAUGAGCCGCAACACUGGGACUGGGAAACGGCCCAGACUCCUACGGGAGGCAGCAGUGGGGAAUAUUGGACAAUGGGCGGAAGCCUGAUCCAGCCAUGCCGCGUGUGUGAAGAAGGCCUUUUGGUUGUAAAGCACUUUAAGCGAGGAGGAGGCUACUUAGAUUAAUACUCUAGGAUAGUGGACGUUACUCGCAGAAUAAGCACCGGCUAACUCUGUGCCAGCCGCCGCGGUAA
rnacentral:rRNA from 1 species